rnacentral:rRNA from 1 species
UGGGGAAUUUUGGACAAUGGGGGCAACCCUGAUCCAGCCAUGCCGCGUGCGGGAAGAAGGCCUUCGGGUUGUAAACCGCUUUCGGCCGGAACGAAAUCGCAUCUGUGAACAGCGGGUGUGGAUGACGGUACCGGAAGAAGAAGCACCGGCUAACUACGUGCCAGCAGCCGCGGUAAUACGUAGGGUGCGAGCGUUAAUCGGAAUUACUGGGCGUAAAGCGUGCGCAGGCGGCCGCGUAAGCCAGAGGUGAAAUCCCCGGGCUCAACCUGGGAAUGGCCUUUGGGACUGCGUGGCUCGAGUGCGGCAGAGGGGGGUGGAAUUCCUGGUGUAGCAGUGAAAUGCGUAGAUAUCAGGAGGAACACCGAUGGCGAAGGCAGCCCCCUGGGCCAGCACUGACGCU